rnacentral:rRNA from 1 species
GAUGAACGCUAGCGGCAGGCCUAACACAUGCAAGUCGAGGGGCAGCACAGAAAUUCAGCAAUGAGUUUUGGUGGCGACCGGCAGACGGGUGCGUAACGCGUGUGCAACCUACCCUUAACAGGGGAAUAACGGAGGGAAACUUCCACUAAUACCCCAUCACAUCCCAAGAGGACUCUCUUGGGGUUGAAAGCUACGGCGGUUAAGGAUGGGCCCGCGUUGUAUUAGAGUGUUGGUGAGGUAACGGCUCACCAAGUCUACGAUACAUAGGGGGACUGAGAGGUUAACCCCCCACACUGGUACUGAGACACGGACCAGACUCCUACGGGAGGCAGCAGUGAGGAAUAUUGGUCAAUGGGGGCAACCCUGAACCAGCCAUGCCGCGUGCAGGAAGACGGCUCUAUGAGUUGUAAACUGCUUUUAAACAGGGAUAAAGCACAGUAUGUAAACUGUGUUGAAGGUACUGUAAGAAUAAGGAUCGGCUAACUCCGUGCCAGCCGCCGCCGUAA